UAUCCCCCUCCCCCCCGAUUCUCUUCUUCUUCUUCAUCUCAUCUCUUUGCGGCGACCAUCAUUGCCACCCGUAGCCGCCACUCGCCGCUGUUCGUCCCAUCACCCCUUGUCGCCGCCGAAACCCCCCUCCCCUUCCAUUUCGCAAUUUCCUCUCAUUCCGUCGCCCAACGCCGCUGCCGUGAGUUGCUCGCCAUCGGUCCGCCACCUCCACUCCUCUUGCUUAAGGGGCUCGAGGAGAGGAGGCAUGAGUGUGGCCAUGGGAGGACGUCAUAUGGAGUGCGCAGGCCGAAUGGGCCACAUGUGGGGAAUUCCGAGGAAAAUGAUGUUCAUGGCGGCGGGGGCCUUCGCCAAGACUGUCGCAAAUCUUCUGAACACCACCACCGUCCACAACGCCAAUACUCUCAUUUGCCUUGUUCGACGCCGACCUCCCGGAGUGCCCCUUGUCACUGUUAGCAAUCACAUGUCCACGUUAGACGAUCCAGUCAUGUGGGGAUUUAAAGGUUUUCCAACCUCAGACGCGACAUUGGGUAGGUGGGUGCUAGCUGCGGAGGAUAUCUGCUUCAAGAACGCACUGCUAUCUUAUUUCUUCCGACUAGGAAAAUGUAUACCUAUUACUAGGGGUGCGGGAAUUCAUCAAGAACAUAUGGUUGAAGCACUUGAGCACUUAAGGAAUGGAGAAUGGCUCCAUACUUUUCCUGAAGGUAAGGUGAUCCAAGAAGAUGUGCCUAUUCGGCGACUAAAGUGGGGAACAGCUAGUCUUAUUGUUCGUUCUCCUAUAACACCGAUAGUUCUGCCCAUUGUCCAUCGUGGCUUUGAGGAGAUAAUGCCUGAAAAAUAUCUCUUUGGUAGGAGGCCUCCUGUUCCCUUGUGCGGUAAGAAGAUUGAGAUUAUUGUGGGUGAGCCUAUUCAAUUCGACCUUCCUAGCAUGAAGCAGAUGGCGAUUGCCAUGUCUCGUGAUUGGUCACCUCCUCUACUAGGAUGGCCUACCAUUGAAGAACCAACGCGACUGGAUGAGGCUGCACAGAGGUUCUUGUAUGGUCAUAUCUCAGAUCAAAUCCGAGGUGUUAUGGAGAGAUUACGUGGUAAACGAUUAUAGAAGCUGAAGGUUUAAAUUUGCCUUCUAAAAAUAGCACUAUGGCCCACACGUGAGAUGAUUUAGGCUUCUUACAUUUUCUCGUGGAUAACAUUAUUUUCAAGAUUUGUUUGGCCUACACAAUACACAUUUUGGCAAUCUCAAUGCUUGUGCAGAUCUUUGGUUUGCAGCUUGGACGACAGGCUCACUCUCAUGUUCUAAAGCAUGGAUUUCGAUUUCAAUUGGGAGAACAGUCGGAUAUUUAUGUUGGGAAUUCUCUAACAACGUACGAAACGAGCUGGAUAUGCUGGCAGCAAUGAAAUUAAUGAAGAACAGCAGAAAGAUCAUGACAUACCCUCAUGUUACCAAAUUGAAAUGCCAUAUACGGGUAACUAGAUUCUUCAUUCGGAUGUGUCUCAAUCAAUCAUGUGAAGGGCUUAGAUCUUUUCAUCUUGUUUGGUUUGAUUUUUCCUAAUGUUGAGGGUGUUGUUUCCCUUGAUUUUAAAGGGUACAUUGAGGUGAUAGAACCAUACUGAUUUUGCCUGUGUUUUUUGGAGAGAUAAGAAGAAACAAUUGGAAAGACUUUAAAUAUAGAGUAUAGGGUCGGUAACCAACCUGAAUACAAUUUAACUAGUUAAGACAUUUUUCUUUAUGAAUAUUUGAAUUCUCCUCCCACAUGUUGAAAAGUACAGGGAGGGUGGGUUGUGUAGGACUUGUGGGAGAGUCAUUUUGUUGCUUCAUUAUGAACUUCCAAAUGAAGAAAUUUGUAGCA